GUCUGCAGUCAUACCACCCUGAACGCGCCUGAUCUUGUCUGAUCUCGGAAGCUAAGCAGGGUCGGUCCUGGUCAGUACUUGGAUGGGAGAAGAUGAAAUUGGUGGGCAAACU
ensembl:rRNA 5S_rRNA 5S ribosomal RNA